UUAAGCGACUAAGCGUACACGGUGGAUGCCCUGGCAGUCAGAGGCGAUGAAGGACGUGCUAAUCUGCGAAAAGCGUCGGUAAGGUGAUAUGAACCGUUAUAACCGGCGAUGUCCGAAUGGGGAAACCCAGUGCAAUUCGUUGCACUAUCGUUAACUGAAUACAUAGGUUAACGAGGCGAACCGGGGGAACUGAAACAUCUAAGUACCCCGAGGAAAAGAAAUCAACCGAGAUUCCCCCAGUAGCGGCGAGCGAACGGGGAGCAGCCCAGAGUCUGAAUCAGCUUGUGUGUUAGUGGAACGGUCUGGAAAGUCCGACGGUACAGGGUGAUAGUCCCGUACACCAAAAUGCACAGGUUGUGAACUCGAAGAGUAGGGCGGGACACGUGGUAUCCUGUCUGAAUAUGGGGGGACCAUCCUCCAAGGCUAAAUACUCCUGACUGACCGAUAGUGAACCAGUACCGUGAGGGAAAGGCGAAAAGAACCCCGGCGAGGGGAGUGAAAAAGAACCUGAAACCGUGUACGUACAAGCAGUGGGAGCACCUUCGGGUGUGACUGCGUACCUUUUGUAUAAUGGGUCAGCGACUUAUAUUCUGUAGCAAGGUUAACCGUAUAGGGGAGCCGCAGGGAAACCGAGUCUUAACUGGGCGUUAAGUUGCAGGGUAUAGACCCGAAACCCGGUGAUCUAGCCAUGGGCAGGUUGAAGGUUGGGUAACACUAACUGGAGGACCGAACCGACUAAUGUUGAAAAAUUAGCGGAUGACUUGUGGCUGGGGGUGAAAGGCCAAUCAAACCGGGAGAUAGCUGGUUCUCCCCGAAAGCUAUUUAGGUAGCGCCUCGUGAACUCAUCUUCGGGGGUAGAGCACUGUUUCGGCUAGGGGGUCAUCCCGACUUACCAACCCGAUGCAAACUACGAAUACCGAAGAAUGUUAUCACGGGAGACACACGGCGGGUGCUAACGUCCGUCGUGAAGAGGGAAACAACCCAGACCGCCAGCUAAGGUCCCAAAGUCAUGGUUAAGUGGGAAACGAUGUGGGAAGGCACAGACAGCCAGGAUGUUGGCUUAGAAGCAGCCAUCAUUUAAAGAAAGCGUAAUAGCUCACUGGUCGAGUCGGCCUGCGCGGAAGAUGUAACGGGGCUAAACCAUGCACCGAAGCUGCGGCAGCGACACUAUGUGUUGUUGGGUAGGGGAGCGUUCUGUAAGCCUGCGAAGGUGUGCUGUGAGGCAUGCUGGAGGUAUCAGAAGUGCGAAUGCUGACAUAAGUAACGAUAAAGCGGGUGAAAAGCCCGCUCGCCGGAAGACCAAGGGUUCCUGUCCAACGUUAAUCGGGGCAGGGUGAGUCGACCCCUAAGGCGAGGCCGAAAGGCGUAGUCGAUGGGAAACAGGUUAAUAUUCCUGUACUUGGUGUUACUGCGAAGGGGGACGGAGAAGGCUAUGUUAGCCGGGCGACGGUUGUCCCGGUUUAAGCAUGUAGGCUGGUUGUCCAGGCAAAUCCGGAUAAUCAAGGCUGAGGUGUGAUGACGAGGCACUACGGUGCUGAAGUAACAAAUGCCCUGCUUCCAGGAAAAGCCUCUAAGCAUCAGGUAACAUCAAAUCGUACCCCAAACCGACACAGGUGGUCAGGUAGAGAAUACCAAGGCGCUUGAGAGAACUCGGGUGAAGGAACUAGGCAAAAUGGUGCCGUAACUUCGGGAGAAGGCACGCUGGUGUGUAGGUGAAGCCCCUGCGGGUGGAGCUGAGACCAGUCGAAGAUACCAGCUGGCUGCAACUGUUUAUUAAAAACACAGCACUGUGCAAACACGAAAGUGGACGUAUACGGUGUGACGCCUGCCCGGUGCCGGAAGGUUAAUUGAUGGGGUUAUCCGUAAGGAGAAGCUCUUGAUCGAAGCCCCGGUAAACGGCGGCCGUAACUAUAACGGUCCUAAGGUAGCGAAAUUCCUUGUCGGGUAAGUUCCGACCUGCACGAAUGGCGUAAUGAUGGCCAGGCUGUCUCCACCCGAGACUCAGUGAAAUUGAACUCGCUGUGAAGAUGCAGUGUACCCGCGGCAAGACGGAAAGACCCCGUGAACCUUUACUAUAGCUUGACACUGAACAUUGAGCCUUGAUGUGUAGGAUAGGUGGGAGGCUUUGAAGCGUGGACGCCAGUCUGCGUGGAGCCAACCUUGAAAUACCACCCUUUAAUGUUUGAUGUUCUAACGUUGGCCCCUGACCGGGGUUGCGGACAGUGUCUGGUGGGUAGUUUGACUGGGGCGGUCUCCUCCCAAAGCGUAACGGAGGAGCACGAAGGUUAGCUAAUCCUGGUCGGACAUCAGGAGGUUAGUGCAAUGGCAUAAGCUAGCUUGACUGCGAGCGUGACGGCGCGAGCAGGUGCGAAAGCAGGUCAUAGUGAUCCGGUGGUUCUGAAUGGAAGGGCCAUCGCUCAACGGAUAAAAGGUACUCCGGGGAUAACAGGCUGAUACCGCCCAAGAGUUCAUAUCGACGGCGGUGUUUGGCACCUCGAUGUCGGCUCAUCACAUCCUGGGGCUGAAGUAGGUCCCAAGGGUAUGGCUGUUCGCCAUUUAAAGUGGUACGCGAGCUGGGUUUAGAACGUCGUGAGACAGUUCGGUCCCUAUCUGCCGUGGGCGCUGGAGAAUUGAGGGGGGCUGCUUCUAGUACGAGAGGACCGGAGUGGACGCAUCACUGGUGUUCGGGUUGUCAUGCCAAUGGCACUGCCCGGUAGCUAAAUGCGGAAGAGAUAAGUGCUGAAAGCAUCUAAGCACGAAACUUGCCCCGAGAUGAGUUCUCCCUGAGACUUUAAGUCUCCUGAAGGAACGUUGAAGACGACGACGUUGAUAGGCCGGGUGUGUAAGCGCAGCGAUGCGUUGAGCUAACCGGUACUAAUGAACCGUGAGGCUUAACCUU
rnacentral:rRNA from 2 species